rnacentral:rRNA from 1 species
UGGGGAAUUUUGGACAAUGGGGGAAACCCUGAUCCAGCCAUCCCGCGUGUGCGAUGAAGGCCUUCGGGUUGUAAAGCACUUUUGGCAGGAAAGAAACGUCAUGGGUUAAUACCCCGUGAAACUGACGGUACCUGCAGAAUAAGCACCGGCUAACUACGUGCCAGCAGCCGCGGUAAUACGUAGGGUGCAAGCGUUAAUCGGAAUUACUGGGCGUAAAGCGUGCGCAGGCGGUUCGGAAAGAAAGAUGUGAAAUCCCAGAGCUCAACUUUGGAACUGCAUUUUUAACUACCGGGCUAGAGUGUGUCAGAGGGAGGUGGAAUUCCGCGUGUAGCAGUGAAAUGCGUAGAUAUGCGGAGGAACACCGAUGGCGAAGGCAGCCUCCUGGGAUAACACUGACGCUCAUGCACGAAGGCGUGGGGAGCAAACAGA